CCUACGGGUGGCAGCAGUGAGGAAUAUUGGUCAAUGGCCGGAAGGCUGAACCAGCCAUGCCGCGUGAAGGUCAGUGCCCUAUGGGCGUUAAACUUCUUUUGUGCGGGAGCAAUAAUGGUCACGUGUGGCCAGACGAGAGUACCGUACGAAUAAGCAUCGGCUAACUCCGUGCCAGCAGCCGCGGGAAUACGGGGGAUGCAAGCGUUAUCCGGGCUUAUUGGGGUUAAAGGGAGCGGAAAUGGGUUGAUUAGGCAGUUGGGAAAGUUGGGGGGUUAAACGUAUAAUUGCAGUUGAUACUGGGGGUCUUGAGUGGACGUGAGGUAGGCGGAAUGCGUGGUGUAGCGGUGAAAUGCUUAGAUAUCACGAAGAACUCCGAUUGCGAAGGCAGCUUACU
rnacentral:rRNA from 1 species